rnacentral:rRNA from 1 species
UACGAGUGCCCCAAGCGUUAUCCGGAAUCAUUGGGCGUAAAGGGUGUGUAGGCGGUUGUGUUAGUCUUUUGUUAAAGCUCUCGGCUUAACCGGGAAGAUGCAAAAGAAACGGCACAACUAGAGGAUGCGAGAGGUGAAUGGAACUCAUAGUGUAGGGGUGAAAUCCGUUGAUAUUAUGGGGAACACCAAAAGCGAAGGCAAUUCACUGGCGCAUUCCUGACGCUGUGACACGAAAGCGUGGGUAGCGAAUGGG